rnacentral:rRNA from 1 species
CGGAACGUGCCUAGUAGUGGGGGAUAACUACUCGAAAGAGUAGCUAAUACCGCAUGAGAUCUAAGGAUGAAAGCAGGGGACCUUCGGGCCUUGCGCUACUAGAGCGGCUGAUGGCAGAUUAGGUAGUUGGUGGGAUAAAAGCUUACCAAGCCGACGAUCUGUAGCUGGUCUGAGAGGACGACCAGCCACACUGGGACUGAGACACGGCCCAGACUCCUACGGGAGGCAGCAGUGGGGAAUUUUGGACAAUGGGCGAAAGCCUGAUCCAGCAAUGCCGCGUGUAGGAUGAAGGCCCUCGGGUUGUAAACUACUUUUGUACGGAACGAAAAGACUCUUUCUAAUAAAGAGGGUCCAUGACGGUACCGUAAGAAUAAGCACCGGCUAACUACGUGCCAGCAGCCGCGGUAAUACGUAGGGUGCAAGCGUUAAUCGGAAUUACUGGGCGUAAAGCGUGCGCAGGCGGUUAUGUAAGACAGAGGUGAAAUCCCCGGGCUCAACCUGGGAACGGCCUUUGUGACUGCAUAGCUAGAGUACGGUAGAGGGGGAUGGAAUUCCGCGUGUAGCAGUGAAAUGCGUAGAUAUGCGGAGGAACACCGAUGGCGAAGGCA